CGAAAAUGGAGAAGAAAGUUGCAGCUCAUACCUCUCCGUCCCCCUCUCCCUCCAGCCUUCCCCAGGUUGACUGUCUGGAGGACAGUUCUCUACGGGACUUCUUGCAUAUGCCUGCACUGAUGAAGCUGUCAGCAAAGAAGAGCUGGCAGCAACAGUCCUGAACGUAGCUUCAGUGACUAUUAACUCACUCAACGCCAGCAACAGGAGGACCAUGGCUGCAAUCCAAACCCAGCAAUGGUUGGAGGGGGAGAAAGAAAGGCUGCAAAGUCAACUUUCUCAGCUGGAAGAGGAGUUAGACUUUUACACGGACAAUAUAGAUGUGACAGAACUUGGAAGUGAGACUGAGACAGUGUCAGCCUCCAUCCCACCACAAAAUUAAAAAUAAAUUUAAAAAAAACUCAAAUAAAUGACUAUUUUUUGACCUGA